GUUGAAGCGCUAUCUCAUGAUUCAAAUGCACAAAGUUUCAAAGAUGAUGUCGUUCUAAGUAAAGAGAUUGGAAGGUUUGAUAAUCUAAGGUUCCUUAAAUUACUCGGAGGAACUUUUGCCGGCGACUUAGCAAAUUGUUUUCCCCGCUUAAGAUGGAUUUCUUGGUAUUUUCCUCCGCGAACCUAUGAAUGGACAAAUAUGUACCUAAAGAAUGUGGUCGUUCUUGAAUUUACAGGCAUUGACUUGUUAGAUGAUUCAAGAUUACGGGACUUAAUCGAGGUGGCGAGAAAAUUGAAAGUUCUCUCUCUUAAAAGUUGUCACAGCAUAAUGACAACACCAGUCUUCUCUGGAUGCCCGACUUUAGAGAGGCUUACUUUCGAAGAUUGUUCCAUCUUGAAUAGAAUUGACGUCUCUAUUGGGAAAUUGCAGUGCCUGAUUGACCUGAAGAUUGAUAGGUGCUGUUGUCUUAAAGAUUUGCCUGAAGAAAUUGGGGACCUAAUCAAUCUGGAGCACUUCUUUGUACAACGGUGUAAAGUGAAGAAACUCCCUGAUUCCAUAUGGAAGUUGAAAUCACUACGGGAAUUGUACUUUUCAAGUCGCUUUUUGGCAUUGACCUCAACAGAUUUAUGGGAGUUACCUAGUGCCAUUGGAAGGUUUCAAAAUCUGGAAGUGCUUCUAGUCAAUAGUCCCAAUUUGAAAGGUCAACUUCCUUCUGGGAUCGGAUAUUUGCCUCUUCUAAGAAUUUUAAAUCUAUCAAAAACUCAGAUCAGUGAACUUCCAAAGACCAUCAGCAUGCUUCCUCGCUUGCAAGUAUUGGAGUUGAUGGCAUGUCAUGAUAUUCAAGAGUUGCCGGUGCUUCCAACAAGUUUAACCCAUUUACGAGUGUCAUCUGCAUCAUUGCGGAAAAUCCCGAAUCUCUCGAACUUAAAUAAUUUGGUUCGGUUGGAUCUAAUCAUAGUGGAUGAGGUGGAUUGGGAAUUUAUUCAAACUGACUAAGUUGAGCUUGGGACUUCACAAUGUCCCUCCUCCCGGGGAGCUGGCUUCCCUUCUCUGCUAACCCAACUUGAUUUGUUUGGCUCGGAUCUGCAAACCCUUCGGCAACUGCACGUUCUCUGCGGAGGCUACGCCUUGAUAAUUUCAAUUCCAUUGUAUCAUUCUCUCAGAACUUGAGCAACUUGUCAUGUGUAGCUGUCUCUUGGUUUCAAAUGCAAGAAUUUCAGCUCGUGGGCUUCAAGUUCCACAUCCAAUGGAGCUGCUUGUCGAAAGGUGCGUAACCCUCAGGAGAUUCAGGAGGCGAAAGAUGUCCAGGGAAAUCGCUGCCGAAUGAAGGGAGGAUGAUGAAGUGGAGUGUCCGA